rnacentral:misc_RNA from 1 species
AUGAAUGCUAGGAUGCUCUCUUUAGAGGUCCGACCCAUUUAUUCCACACACCGUGCACACACACUUUUUACACCCAAUUUUAACACUAUGUAAUGAAUGUAACAAAGUCUCUUAAUUGAGCACACAAUUAAUAAUA